AUUGAACGCUGGCGGCAUGCCUUACACAUGCAAGUCGAACGGCAGCACGGGAGCAAUCCUGGUGGCGAGUGGCGAACGGGUGAGUAAUAUAUCGGAACGUGCCCGGUCGUGGGGGAUAACGUAGCGAAAGCUACGCUAAUACCGCAUACGAUCUACGGAUGAAANCGGGGGAUCGCAAGACCUCGCGCGAUUGGAGCGGCCGAUAUCAGAUUAGGUAGUUGGUGAGGUAAAGGCUCACCAAGCCGACGAUCUGUAGCUGGUCUGAGAGGACGACCAGCCACACUGGGACUGAGACACGGCCCA
rnacentral:rRNA from 1 species